GCCGGCCGGCCUCCAUGCGCCGCUGCAGGAUGAGGUCCCGCUCAGUGCCGCUGAGGCGGCCAUACACGCUGGGCUCCCGCAGCACCUCCAGGCCUUCAGAGCCCUGAUAAUCAGCUUUCUUCAAGAACUGACACUGGUGAAAUGACAAAGGUCCAGUGGAGGUGGCUAGGAAAACACCAGGAAUGCCAAGCUCAGAUGUACAGUUAUAUUAAGAAAAUUGCUACAAUGUGACACAAUGAUCAAAGAGUUGUACUGCUGUUCUAACAACACAGAACAUUCAAAAGUUACAGAAUUGCAGAAGAUACUUGAUAGCUGUGCUGAUUCAGAAGAAUCUGACCCCCUAACGAACUCAUUCAGCUUAAAACAAACUUAGUUUUAGCACUUUUUUCAAAACUCAGAAACAGGAUAGGUAGUGGAAAAGGAAGCAAGCUGUUUACAGGACACGGUAUCUAUGGACUAAUGUCACUUUUUAUACUGGGGACUUUUAAGUUAGAAGCUGAAUUACUGUUUUCAUUAUCAUGGGCUCGGUCUAGGGAUGAUGUAAUGUUAAUGGACACAGGAGCUGCCAACAAACAUGAACUGUAUUUACAGACUUGGCAAUGACACAAUUACAAUAUCCUGGAUGUGUGGCCCCAACCUCAGAUGCUGUGAGACAUUGCUCAAGUAACAGCAUAGAUAAGAAGGCGUAGUUUUUCUGACAGAGAAACUGUAAUGAAGAGCUGCAGGUAAAGUUUCCUGCAUUCAUUUGGCAGU